rnacentral:lncRNA from 1 species
AUACUGCACAUGUGCAACUCUUUUUGUCUAACUAUUAACCAAUUCCCCAAAACUCAACUACAUCACAAAAUAGAAAUUUGGGAGACCAUUUUCUUGAAAGUGAAUGCUAAAGUAAGGAUUUAUUGAACUCCAUGGAUUGUUAGAGUAUCUUAACUUACAAAUUGUGGAAGUGAAUCUCUUCUAUAAAUAUAAGGAUACACACACUUGUUGUCAAUGUUGAAGUCGACUAAGCAUCUUAUCUUUCAUUAAAUUUUAGUCACUGAAUGCAAUCUUAGAGAAUGUUUCUCAGAAACCACUGAUCUAUCGGUCUCAAAAUAGAUUCAAUUUCAGGGUCUCUGCUACAACUCAAGUAUCUAUACAGGAUGGGGCAUAUAUAUCCUCCCGAUUUUAAGCAUAAAACUGUAGCCUUUUUCCGAACUUAGCACUUGCUCACAUCUGACAGCCCUUACUGAGUUCUACUUUCAUUAAACAUAAACUCUAUCAAUGAUAGUCUUGAACAUAAACUGUAUAAUGACAGUAACACAGUUUUCUCACGCGUCACAAGAAAUCACUUAUAAAUUGUGGUCUUUCCCUAUUAAUCAGGUAUUUAUUUUUCCAAUAUAUUGAUAUUAGUCAUUGUAUAUUACAACAGCUGUAUUUAGGUGAACUCUAAAGCAGAAAUUUAUGAUGUUCAAAGUUUUUUAAUGUACACAGAAGAAUUCAAGGAAACGAAUGGAAACCGCAUUGUCACUAUUCUCUAUAGUCUCGGCUAGACAAAUCUAAAGGCUUGAAGGUGUCACUGAACCAUUAAUUGAAUUCUAUAUCUGGAGUGCUUAUUGGUUUCUUAAAGAACAUCUGUUUCCUUCCAAUCAUUGUUAAACGAAACAUCCCUUUGAAUAGACAUACCUAGAGUAAGACUCUUACACGGUGAUUAUGGAAUCAUAAUGACUCCAAAACAUGAUAGCAUUUCCAGAAACCAAUCGUGUCGACUUAAUUCUAUUCCAAAUAACAUAAUUCUCUAAUGAAUAUUUUGAACCCCACAAUUCAAUGCUCCACUUAUUCAGUCAAAAGUUUCCAUAAAUGCAAAUCCAAGUUGAUAUAAUUCCAGCAUAGAAAUCCCAGAAACACAAAUU